rnacentral:rRNA from 1 species
UUAAGUUGGGCGACUCUAAAGAGACUGCCGGUGGUCAAACCGGAGGAAGGUGGGGAUGACGUCAAGUCCUCAUGGCCUUAUGACCAGGGCUACACACGUACUACAAUGGCAGGUACAAAGGGCAGCCACUUAGCGAUAAGGCGCGAAUCCCGUAAAACCUGUCUCAGUCCGGAUUGGAGUCUGCAACUCGACUCCAUGAAGUUGGAAUCGCUAGUAAUCGCAGAUCAGCACGCUGCGGUGAAUACGUUCCCGGGCCUU